CAUGUCUUUUUGAUUAUAAUUUAAAGUCUGACCUGCCCUAUGAAUUAUAUUUUAAAUGGCCGCGGUAUUUUGACCGUGCAAAGGUAGCAUAAUAAUUAGUUUUUUAAUUGGGAACUGGUAUGAAUGGUUGGACGAGAAAAAAGCUGUCUCAAUUUAAUUUAAAUUAGAAUUUUAUAUUUAAGUAAAAAAGCUUAAAUAUUUUUAAAAGACGAGAAGACCCUAUAGAGUUUUAUAUUUUAAAUAUAUUUAGAAAUUAAGGUAUUUUAGAUUUGAAUAUAUUUAAAAAUAUUUAGUUGGGGUGAUUGAAAAAUUAAAAAAACUUUUUUUCAUUUUUUACAUUAAUUUAUGAAUAUUUGAUCCAUAUAUUUAUGAUUAAAAGAUUAAAUUACCUUAGGGAUAACAGCGUUAUUUUUUUUGAGAGUUCUUAUCGAAAAAGAAGUUUGCGACC
rnacentral:rRNA from 1 species